GAUGAACGCUGGCGGCGUGCCUAAUACAUGCAAGUCGAGCGAACAGACGAGGAGCUUGCUCCUCUGACGUUAGCGGCGGACGGGUGAGUAACACGUGGAUAACCUACCUAUAAGACUGGGAUAACUUCGGGAAACCGGAGCUAAUACCGGAUAAUAUAUUGAACCGCAUGGUUCAAUAGUGAAAGACGGUUUUGCUGUUACUUAUAGAUGGAUCCGCGCCGCAUUAGCUAGUUGGUAAGGUAACGGCUUACCAAGGCGACGAUGCGUAGCCGACCUGAGAGGGUGAUCGGCCACACUGGAACUGAGACACGGUCCAGACUCCUACGGGAGGCAGCAGUAGGGAACCUUCCGCAAUGGGCGAAAGCCUGACGGAGCAACGCCGCGUGAGUGAUGAAGGUCUUCGGAUCGUAAAACUCUGUUAUUAGGGAAGAACAAAUGUGUAAGUAACUAUGCACGUCUUGACGGUACCUAAUCAGAAAGCCACGGCUAACUACGUG
rnacentral:rRNA from 1 species